rnacentral:rRNA from 1 species
AACGAACGCUGGCGGCAUGCCUAACACAUGCAAGUCGAACGAGACCUUCGGGUCUAGUGGCGCACGGGGGCGUAACGCGUGGGAACCUGCCCUUAGGUUCGGAAUAACUCCCCGAAAGGGGUGCUAAUACCGGAUAAUGUCUUCGGACCAAAGAUUUAUCGCCUUUGGAUGGGCCCGCGUUGAAUUAGCUAGUUGGUAGGGUAAAAGCCUACCAAGGCGACGAUCCAUAGCUGGUCUGAGAGGAUGAUCAGCCACACUGGGACUGAGACACGGCCCAGACUACUACGGGAGGCAGCAGUGGGGAAUAUUGGACAAUGGGCUAAAGCCUGAUCCAGCAAUGCCGCGUGAGUGAUGAAGGCCUUAGGGUUGUAAAGCUCUUUUACCCGGGAUGAUAAUGACAGUACCGGGAGAAUAAGCUCCGGCUAACUCCGUG